AGGCCAUUCCGAUGGGUGGGGAUGAACGGUCUGUAAAACCGUCGGCUCAGCCUACGCAAGUUCGAACCUUGCACCUGCCA
rnacentral:tRNA from 1 species